rnacentral:lncRNA from 1 species
AUAAGUAAGUAAACGAAUAGGGACAGGGAAGCAAACACAAGAUGUACGUGGUUCACCCAGAUUAGCUACGUCCACGGAGUAGAGGAGUUCUCAUUAAUUGUGAAGGGUUUACACAAGUACAUAGGUUCAAGCUCUCAUUUAGUGAGUACUAGUGAAUGAUUUAGUACAAAUGACAUUCGGAAAUAUUGUGAGAGAAUGAUCUCUAUUUAUAGAAGAAAGUUUCUAGUUUCAUUCUAACAUUGACACGUGUCGUGUUGUGAUUGGCUUCUGAUGUUGACACGUGUCACGCUAUGAUUGGCUUCUGAUAUCGACACGUGUCGCGCUGUGAUUGACCUCCUGGUUGUAGGAAAACUCUUCUGGGUCCUUGACGGUAUAACGUUGACCAAUGCUCAGUAGUUUCGAGAUUGGUCAAGUAUGGUACAAACACCAUGUAUAAGUACCGUCACGCUUCUACUUCCACAUGAUUAAGUUCGAAAAAGUUCAGUCAACAUUGUCUUUUUGGUAAUCUCAUCAUUUAGAAUAUUUGUUAUACUCUCGUCGGCAUAAAACUGAAAUUGGUGCAU